UCAGGUGUAACUCAGUGUUUGUGUCCUGCAGGGAAUGAACUCCUCGAUUUUCCUCACCUUCCCCAGCACAUUUGGCUGAUUUGUUUCCUUUCCAAAUGAGAAUUUCUCUUCUUGCAGGGAGAACAGGAACCCUCACACCUCCUGGGCAGUGCACCUGAGGGCGACCUGGUGAGGUAAGAGGGGAGCUGAAGGUUUGGGAAGAUUAUAAAACAGAUGGAAGUUCUGGAAAAGCCAAAAAUCAGCUCCAGGACCUUCAGCAAAAGAAGGCAAGGGAGACCAAAAGUGUAACUGAGAGGGGUUGGGAGCUCUGUGUCCUCCUCACACGGGUGAGGUGAUGAACAGAGCUCAUCCCACACAAGCAGUGACAGCUCUGGUGCCUGAAUUUGGGGGGUCACAGGGGUCUCCUGCCCUGGAACAGCCUGUCCCUGAACCUGUGGCACUCUGGGGUUCUCAGCAGAACACCAAGGACCUGCUCCUGAGCCCUUCCACGCUCAUCUUCAAGGGAAGAGGAGCUCCAACCCUUCCCAGAGGAGCCAAGCUGGAAUUGCAGUUUUAUUGUUGCUCAUCCCAAAAUGCAGAUGAAGAUAUUUCAUUCUCCAUUUGCUGAAGGCAGAAGUGAUCUCUGCACAAUCUGCCCUUUCUCCCCUCAUUCCUACCAAACUUUCCUUUGGGUGUGUCCCACUUGCUGCCCACAUAUUUCCUCUUUUUCUCCAUAAUCUUCUGGCCCUUUCCCCCCCAGAUGUGAUGGAAAUGACAAUUUUGCCACGAUGAACACGGGGGCAGAACUUCCAGCACCAGCAGGGCCUGGUUUUCCAAACAGGCUGAGCUCCAGCAUUUGCACAGACACCACAAGAAGAAAAAUAAGGAAACGCCACCAGAAGGUUCUGACCCCUGCUGGGCCCUACUGGAGAGCACAGAACUUCCCUUAGGAGGAAGGUAUCAAAAAUGGGGCAGUAGUGGGGUUAAAACACCUGCUUGGAGGAGAUACCAAAGGGAAUGAGGGAAGGGGGAGAUGAUGGAGGAGAAACGCCUGCAGAAGGGAGAACAGGGAUGUUACAUCCAUCAGCCAUGCCGGGAAAAGUCAUUCCCUCCCCAUGCAAACCCUCAGGGGCGUUAUAAAUGCAAUGGAUGGGGACUGGGAGGGGAAAUGGCACUAAAAUAAAAGAGACACCUGCCUGGAGAUCAUCUCUGCCGGGACUCGAACCCGGAACCUCUGGAUUAGAAGUCCAGCGCGCUCGUCCAUUGCGCCACAGAGACCUCACCGUGAGGGGAGCGUCGGCUCCAGAACUGAAAAAUCCCCAGCGCCGCAGGGUCCGGCACCCACCGGCACCUCCCCGGCACGGCAGCACCUCCAGCAUCCCCUCCCUGCGCAGGGACACGGCAGGAAUAAUCCCAGGGAUCAUCCAUAUCUCGUCUGGCAGCGGGGAUGCAGCAAAAACCUGGAUGCAGGCUGGUAUCCGCCUCUCUGGCAACCUUUCCGCAGCAUCCCCGGCGCUCGGCUGCGGGCAGAGCUAAAUCCUGGAGCAGAGUUCAUCGCUGCAUCUCCCUCAGCAUCAGCAUCACGGCAUCCUCCUCGCUGCAGAAGCCAAGGGAUAAAGAUGAAAGAGGAUUUAGCUGAGAGCACUGACAAUGGUGAGGGGAGCUCUGCUUGUCGGGGUGAAAAAAGCGCCGAGAACCUGAGGUUUGAGCAGAGAAAAGAAAGGAAAAGCAGCUACUGUGGGUUUCCUUUCAGCAAGCUGUCAAUCAGGGGUUUAAUGAAGAAACAUUGUGCCUCUUCUGUUGGGGGAAAAAAAAUGGAGACGAUGUCAAAACAACAGGAAAGGUCCAUUUACAACCACUGACCUAUUAACAAUUGAUCCAACUCUGUCACGGAGUCCUGGCUGGGAAUGGGUGCGUUUGGAAUCCCACAAAUUUCAGGCUGCUGUUCACUCCCAAACACGCCAUCAAUUCCCAUGAAAGGGGAGAUCUUAAGUGCAAUCCAAGAAGAGGAAUUCCCUGAGACAGGGAGUUUUUGCCUCAAGGUCAGUGUGACCUGAAGGUCCAACCUCAGGCAGCUCAUGUGGGCGGAGAACAGCAGGAAUAAAACAAGAGGAGAUUCAACGCCAUGGAACCACGGUCAGAACCUCAGAAUUGAGGAUAAACCCCCUCAAACACCCAGGUUUAGAUGAUGAAGAUCACACCACCAGCACAGGACAAGCUCCUGCUGCACCCCUGCUUUCCUCAGCGCCUGUCCCUCCUGCCUCAGGCUGGGCCACCUCUGUGCUCAUGGCUAAAAUCCCAGAGAAUCAGUCCUGGGCCAGAUCCCUGCCUCCCUCCUGGGCUGGAAAAGACCUGACCUCUGCCCAAACUGAGCUGUGAAGUUGUGUGGUGCUGAAGAGAAGAGGCACAGCACUGACAACCUCGGCACACCUAAUGCAAACCCAAAGGAUUUGGUUUUCCUUUCACUCGUGGAAGGCUUUAUGGUUGUCUUGACAAGUAAAAUCCAACUUGGAACGGUGGGAAAGAAGGCAGAGGUUGAAUUUCUAUCAGCAAAACCCUUCCUGCUGCAAAAGAUAACCCAGUAAAUUGAUAAUCCUUGAAAUAAAUCCCUCUGUGAACCAACUGUGAUCACACUGGGACCUGGAGAAAACUCAAAGUCUAGAACACCCAUCUGCAGGGUGACCAAAGGCUGUGCUUAAAAAAGUCACAGAAAAAAUCUUAGACAAAGGUAUAAAGCUCUAAAGGAUGAGAAAAAUCUCCCACAGCCUGUGACUGUGUGCUCCUCCUGGGGGAUGAAGACACCAGCUUUCAAUAUGAUUUUGGGAGGCUGCACCUCAAAAGUGCCUGCUUUGAAGUCACCAGCAAGCAGAAAAUCUGGAGAUGAUUAAUUAAAUAGCACAAAACUCUCAGAAGAAUGACUGUGGCUUUUUGGGCAGGCACAUCCCUGGAAUCAGAGGUUUGAAGGAAGCCUCGUUCCUCCUGCCUGGAGCUCCCCUUUGGUGCUAAUUGCACCAAACCCCAGAAAGAACCAGGAGUUUGAACAUGUCCUGAUGAAAAUGCCACAUUUCUGUCAGGGGAAAGUGUGGGGAGAACCAGGGGCAGCAGGGCUGUGCCAGAGGAGCAGCAGCACCACCAGGAGAGCACCAGAGCCUCAUCCUCAUCCCAAGACCCAGCUCUGGGGACACCUGCCAGGUGUUUCUGUACCUUCAAUAACCCCGUCAGUCUCCCCUGAGGUCCCAACUGUCCCUCUGCUCCUUCGAGAUGGGCCAAAUUUGGGAAGCAGAGACUGGAGGGAGAGCAGCACAGGCACCACCAGGUUGUUUUUGGUGCUGGGGGAGGCCAGUGCAUCCCAUUCUGUGCCCCCAGCACACAGAAAUGUGUCAGGAGUGAAAAAGCUGCCAACUGUCACCCCUGGCCACAAAUCAUUUCCCAGACAGCAAGAACAUGAGCCAGGAGCAAGGAUGCAGUGGCCCAGAGUGAACCCAGAGAAUUUACCACCUAAUAAACAGCUGGGAAAGGCCUUUGGGAAGACAAAACUCUGAGCAAUUUGAUGACUGAUGGAGCUUUCAGAUCCACCUCACCUAAAGCUGCUCCAGGGCAGCAGCACCGCUGCUGAGAGAUCCUGAAAUCCUUUGCACACCGAAAGAAACAGCAACAGAAAAUCCCUACCGGAGCUGAGACUGCUUUGUGGUACCCAGAGAAAGGUUUUACAGUACAGCUAUAAAUACAGCCACAGGGUUUUAUUGCUACAACCACCCAAUUCCCCAAUAAAACCUUCUCCAAGAGCCACCAAGAGCCACGAGGGUUAAAGCUGUGUGGCUCGAGGCAAAAAAUCCACUGACACACCUGUGAUGGUGCAGGCUCUUCCCCAAAUCCUUACAACA